rnacentral:rRNA from 1 species
AUUGAACGCUGGCGGCAGGCCUAACACAUGCAAGUCGAGCGGAGCGACGGACGGGUGAGUAAUGCCUAGGAAUCUGCCUGGUAGUGGGGGAUAACGUCCGGAAAGGGGCGCUAAUUCCGCAUACUCUCAAAUGAGCGUACGUGGGAUUAACUAGUUGGUGGGGGAAAGGCUUACCAAGCCGACGAUCCGUACCUGGUCUGAGAGGAUGAUCAGUCACACUGGAACUGAGACACGGUCCAGACUCCUACGGGAGGCAGCAGUGGGGAAGAUUGGACAAUGGGCGAAAGCCUGAUCCAGCCAUGCCGCGUGUGUGAAGAAGGUCUUCGGAUUGUAAAGCACUUUAAGUUGGGAGGCGUUACCAACAGAAUAAGCACCGGCUAACUUCGUGCCAGCAGCCGCGGUAAUAC